UUCUCAUAUUAUCUUUACAUGGUAUCAGAGCCCUCAUUCUAAUUUUUUGAUCAAUCAUGACUUCUUCUCAAAUGAUCCCUUCAAAUUCAAUCUCUUUUUCUGCUCAUCAUACCUUCUCUGUCAAGCUUACUCUAAGAAAUUAUCUUGCUUGGAAAACUUAAUUUAAUCCUUUUCUUAAUUACCAAAAUCUGAUUGGGUUUAUUGAUGGUUCAACUAUUGCUCCAUUGAAAACAAUUAAAGAUUCUUCUACUCCUCCUGCUGAGAUUCCAAAUCCAGAAUAUGAAACAUGGUAUAAAAAGGAUCAGAUGCUUCAUUCCUGGAUCCUUUCUUCUCUUUCAGAAGAGAUAUUUUCUUAUGUUAUUGGGUUAUCUUCAUCUUAUGAAGUAUGGUAGGCUCUCUCUCAAGCUUUUGGUUUAGUUUCUCAAAACCGACAACUGCAAUUGCACAUUGAACUCCAAGAAUUGAAGAAAAACGAUCUCUCUGUCUCAGCAUAUUUGCAAUGUGCUAAAGCUCUAGCUGAUGAGCUAAAUGCGGCAGGUCGUCCUUUUGCCCCAGCAGAAUUUAAUGUAAUAAUUUAUCGCAAUAUUGGCAGUGACUAUCAUGCCAUUAUCACUGCCUUAAAUCUUCGUUCUGAACCAGUGUCAUUUCAUGAACUCCAUGGUCAACUUAUUGCUCAUGAAAUUUUACUUAAGAGCUCUACUGAUCUUCCUCAAGCAAACAUGGUGACUUGUCAGCCUAAUUCUGCUCCAUUGCUUCCCACUCCAUCUCAGAAUAAUAAUCACAAGAAAUCUUCGAAUUGGAAUGGAAAUCGACCCCGUGGUCCUUGCCAAAUCUGUGGCUAUAGAAACCAUACCGCUGAUUGUCGUCGUCGUUGAUAUUCUCAUUACAACUCUCACAACCAAAAUGCAACUCCUCAUGCUAAUUACUCUUCGGCUGGUCAUUCUCAAAAUAAUUGUGCAAGUUCUCAAGUUCCUGUUGCCAACUACACUCAUGGAGGUUCCACUAUGCCAUGGUAUCCUGACACAGCAGCGAACUAUCACAUCACCCCUGAUUUAGCCAAUCUCAGCAUUGCUCAUGACUAUAACGGACAUGAACAACUCCAUGUUGGUAAUGGACAAGGAUCAGGUGUCCAAGAAAAUCCUCCUACAGGGCCCAAGUGAAGAUGGAGUGUACACUUUUCGCCCUAAUGGCAAGCAAGCAUUUACAACUGAAGCGCCAAACCAUAUGUUGAAUGGAGUGAUGCAAUGCAAAGUGAAAUUAAUGCCUUGCUUCAGAAUCACACAUGGGUUCUUGUUCCUCGACCUCCAGCUGCCAAUAUCAUUGGCAGUAAAUGGGUUUAUCGAAUUAAAAGGAAAUCUAAUGGGGAGAUAGAUCGGUUUAAGGCUCGACUCGUUGCGAAGGGUUACUCGCAGCAGCCUGGUAUUGACUACACUGAGACCUUUAGUCCUGUGGUUAAAGCUACUACAAUUCGGACUAUUUUAUCAAUUGCUACUUCUUCACAUUGGUCAAUCCGCCAACUUGAUAUCUCAAAUGCUUUUUUACAUGGUUUUAUUGAUUCAGAUAUUUAUAUAGAGCAGCCCAUUGGCUUUCAAGACUCUUCACAUCCAGACUAUGUGUGUAAGUUGUCUAAGUCGUUGUAUGGUCUCAAAUAGGCCCCUCGGGCCUGGUUUCACAAACUCACUUCAUUUAUGCAGGACCUUGGUUUCAAGCUUCAAAGGUUGAUUCUUCUUUGUUUAUUCUUCAUCAAGGUGCUCUUAAAUUCUAUGUUCUAAUUUAUGUGGAUGAUAUCCUCCUUACUUGCUCUGAUUCUACAAAACUGGAUUGGUUUUUAAGUAAGAUCAAAUCAACCUUUCCAGUUCGAGACCUUGGAUCUCUUCAUUUCUUCUUGGGUAUUGAGGCACAAUUUUCGGUUGAUGGUCUUCUCAUCACCCAACGAAAGUACAUUACUGAUCUGUUGGCCAAUUCCAAUAUGUUUGACUGCAAGCCUUGUCAUACACCUAUGUCGACUAGCCCUCCACUUUCCAAACUCUCUAGUGAUCCUUUGUCAAAUGCAGAGCAAUAUCGUUAAGUGGUUGGAUCCUUGCAUUACAUUACUCUGACCAGACCUGAUAUCUCAUUCUCGGUUAACAAAAUUAUCUCAAUUUAUGCAUCAGCCCACUCAAGAGCAUUAGACAAGAGUUAAGAGGUUGUUGCGUUAUCUUAAGGCUACUGUUGGUUUCGGUUUGUUCUUCUCCACGCAUUCCACUCUUGAUUUGCAAUGCUUCACUGACAGUGAUUGGGGUGGUUGCCCCAAUAAUCGUCGAUCAACAAAUGGUUAUGCAGUUUAUCUAGUCAAAAAUCUUAUUUCAUGGACUUCGAAGAAACAACCAACCAUUGCCCGGUCUUCCAUUGAGAGUGAAUAUCGUGCUCUUGCUAACUCUACUACUGAAAUUAUGUGGCUUCGAUCACUUCUCUAUGAACUUGGCUUCUCUUCCUCAAAUCCAGCUACAUUGUGGUGAGAUAAUGUGGAAGCUAUUUAUCUAUGUUCGAAUCCUGUCUUUCAUGCCCGAACAAAACAUAUCGAACUUGACUAUCAUUUCAUUUGAGAACAAGUCCAACAACGCAACAUUCAGGUUUGUUUUAUUUCUUCAGAUGACCAGAUUGCUGAUAUUCUUACCAAAUCACUUGCUCAGCAUCUAUUUGUUAAGCACCGAGACAAGCUUCGGCUUUGUUCUUCUCCGCCUUCAGCUUGACGGGGGGUGUUAGAGCAACAACCAGAUAUAGUUUGUUUUAUUUGUAUCUAUCUUAUUGUUGUAACUAUCAUCCUUUAAUCAUGUAAGUAGUUAGCUGAUUUUAUGCUAUUUCAAACUCUGUAAUUCAACUAUAUAAAGAUGCUUUUGUAUUCAUUAUCAAAGAGCAAUAUAAUACAAACAUUCAUUCUCAUAUUAUCUUUA